UACGGAGGGGGCGAGCGUUAUUCGGAAUUAUUGGGCGUAAAGGGCGCGUAGGCGGCCCGAUAAGUCAAAGGUGAAAUCCCUCGGCUCAACUGAGGAACUGCCUUUGAAACCGUCGGGCUUGAGUCCGGGAGGGGGUAGCGGAAUUCCCAGUGUAGCGGUGAAAUGCGUAGAUAUUGGGAGGAACACCAGUGGCGAAGGCGGCUACCUGGACCGGUUCUGACGCUGAUGCGCGAAAGCGUGGGUAGCAAACAGG
rnacentral:rRNA from 1 species